GGCCUGCUCAUUUCUUAAAUCCUCUUCCAGCUGUGAAGAACACAGAAGAAGGAGGUGUGUAGGAAGCAAUUCAGCUGAACUUCUCCAAUGUGUUGUCACCAGUUUUGUAAAGGAAUUUCACUUUCACCUCAUGGAACCCCCAGCAUGAAACACCCCAG